GACAGCAGUCGCCACGGUAAUACAGAGGGUGCGAGCGUUAAUCGGAUUUACUGGGCGUAAAGCGUGCGUAGGCGGCUUCUUAAGUCGGAUGUGAAAUCCCUGAGCUUAACUUAGAAAUUGCAUUCGAUACUGGGAAGCUAGAGUAUGGGAGAGGAUGGUAGAAUUCCAGGUGUAGCGGUGAAAUGCGUAGAGAUCUGGAGGAAUACCGAUGGCGAAGGCAGCCAUCUGGCCUAAUACUGACGCUGAGGUACGAAAGCAUGGGGAGCAAACAGGAUUAGAUACCCCUGUAGUCCCUGUCUCUUAUAC
rnacentral:rRNA from 1 species